rnacentral:rRNA from 1 species
UACGUAGGGUGCAAGCGUUAAUCGGAAUUACUGGGCGUAAAGCGUGCGCAGGCGGUUAUGCAAGGCAGAUGUGAAAUCCCCGGGCUUAACUCGGAACGGUCAAGUGAUACUGUCGGGCUAGAGUGCAGAAGGGGCAACUGGAAUUCUCGGUGUAGCGGUGAAAUGCGUAGAUAUCGAGAGGAACACCUGCGGCGAAGGCGGGUUGCUGGGCUGACACUGACGCUGAGGCGCGAAAGCCAGGGGAGCGAACGGG